UUUUUUUGUAGGAAGAGAGAUAAACUUGAACAUUAGAAAAGAGGAAGGAGAACAUUAGUAACAAUCACUAUUUAUUGUGUAUUAGAUCUGUGUUAAACUUUUUUUAGUAUGGAUUAUUUUAUUCUUCCUUUCCAUCAGCCCACCAUGGAAUAUAUCAUAUUUACCCUCAGUCUUGGAGAAGACUCAAAGGAAAGCCAGAUGAACACCAUCCUAAAUGUGAAGGCCUGCAAAGGCAAUGGGAUAAAAUUGCAGCAAAAAUAUCAGCAUCCUACAAGAUAGUGCCCUGGUUAUCGCUG
rnacentral:lncRNA from 1 species